ACGGGCAUGGUGCAACGGUAGCAUGCAGGUCUCCAAAACCUUUGAUCUGGGUUCGAAUCCUAGUGCCCGUGCAA
rnacentral:tRNA from 4 species